GUGGGGAAUCUUGCGCAAUGGGCGAAAGCCUGACGCAGCAACGCCGCGUGGAGGAAGAUAGGCCUUCGGGUUGUAAACUCCUUUCAGGAGGGACGAAGCUUCCAGGGUUAAUAGCCCAUGGGGUGACGGUACCUCCAGAAGAAGCCCCGGCUAACUACGUGCCAGCAGCCGCGGUAAUACGUAGGGGGCAAGCGUUGUCCGGAAUUAUUGGGCGUAAAGCGCGUGUAGGCGGCUUGGUAAGUCUGGUGUGAAAUCUUGGGGCUCAACCCCAAGCCUGCAUCGGAUACUGCCUGGCUAGAGUCCGGGAGGGGAGAGCGGAAUUCCCAGUGUAGCGGUGAAAUGCGCAGAUAUUGGGAAGAACACCGGUGGCGAAGGCGGCUCUCUGGAACGGUACUGACGCUGAGACGCGAAAGCGUGGGGAGCGAACAGGAUUAGAAACCCCAGUAGUCC
rnacentral:rRNA from 1 species